GAAGGGACUGUUGAUGAAGAGACCAAAGCCCAAGUGAAGGCUUGAGCUAGGGCAAGUAUAAAGUUAAAAAAAUUGCAGCUUUCAAGACUCUGGUCUUGGAUGAGAGAGAUCUGUGGAUGGAGCAGAUGACAUUGACGGCAACAAGAAUUGCGGUUUAUGAGUC